GAUGAACGCUAGCUACAGGCUUAACACAUGCAAGUCGCGGGGCAGCAUGGGGGUUGCUUGCAAUCCCCGAUGGCGACCGGCGCACGGGUGAGUAACGCGUAUCCAACCUGCCCUUCACCACGGGAUAACCCGGCGAAAGUCGGACUAAUACCGUAUGUUGUCCAUUGACGGCAUCCGAUUUGGGCGAAAGGUUUGGCGGUGAAGGAUGGGGAUGCGUCCGAUUAGCUGGACGGCGGGGUGACGGCCCACCGUGGCGACGAUCGGUAGGGGUUCUGAGAGGAAGGUCCCCCACACUGGAACUGGGACACGGUCCAGACUCCUACGGGAGGCAGCAGUGAGGAAUAUUGGUCAAUGGGCGUAAGCCUGAACCAGCCAAGUAGCGUGCAGGAUGACGGCCCUAUGGGUUGUAAACUGCUUUUAUGCGGGGAUAAAGUGGCCCACGUGUGGGUUUUUGCAGGUACCGCAUGAAUAAGGACCGGCUAAUUCCGUG
rnacentral:rRNA from 1 species